GUCGGGAAUAAUCUGUCCUCUACAUUUCAAUGGCUUCCGCCCACCCACCUCCUUUGUUGCUGCAUUUACAUUCUAGAACACAUCAAUCCAGUUUUCUUGUAUUUAGUGAUUAAAUAAUACUAUCAUCCUAACAAAAAAUGUUCAGUUCUAACCUAAAAUGUAGCCUACUUACAACAUACUGACAUAUAUUCUUCUGCUGGCAAUAAAUGUAAGAAAUAUAUUUUGAAAAAUAAAUAUGAUCCUAACGAUACUGUUGCUUAUUUGACUAUACAACAGUGUAAUUAUCAAAACAAAAGUAGAUUGAAACAGAUUUUAAUAAGAAGCAGUUAUUUAUUGUUCGAAGCGUUUUUCAAUAAUGCAAUGACAGCAUCAAGCAAUGGUGUAGAAUAAUCCCAACGAGAACGGAUGUGAUUGGUUCGUAGGUCUCACUCCUACCCAUUUAACCACUCCCCCAACAUAGCAUUGUCAAUAACACCAUAAACAGACAGUAUCAGAAAACAAUCAUAUAUUGUAACAGUAACCAAUAUCUGUUGAAAUGAGGUAUGUUUUCUCUCCUACAUCUAAUGUAAACAUACAUUUAAUGUAAACAGAAAUACAUUACAUUUAGAUACCAGGUCCCUUUACAUGUCUAUGGGUGGUUCGGUCCCACUGAAUGUGUCACAAAAGUCAUUGAAGUCUUUCUGCAUGAAAUCUUCACUCUGCAUCACGUCGUUAUCUGACGGGAAAUACUGCAUACUGUUACUCUCUUGCUCCUCUUGGUACAAAUCCCCUAAAUUGAAGAAGGGGAACUGUUGGCACUUGGCCAAUUGUCGGGGGAAGAACCGUGCUGGCGUUGUUGUGAGAUUUGGACUGUCGAGUAGAGCGCCCCUUGCGUUCUCUAGCACGCCUAGAUACGAGUCCAUGUCUGUGAAAUCAGUUUCGCAGUCAGACCCACUGUCUGUGCCGAUGGAGUCCGAACGCAUAUGCAUCAUUUGAUAUUUUUCAUGCAUCAGAAACUGGUUGGUGUUUCUCGGAGCUCUCAUUCCUGGAGCUCUGCUACCUUUAAUGUUGACAGGACGCAGUGACGUCAUCACGCGAGGUGGUCGGUUCUGUUUGUAGAAGUGGUUGGGUUGGUGAGGAUGAGAUGAUGAUGAUGCCCAUGCACCCUUCCUCUCUUCCCCCGAUACCCUUGUUGCCUCCUCCCGUUCUUGGACCAACUAAGCUUGUUGUUGUCACCUCUCCUUGCCUGCUGCCCAUCCUUCUGUUGGUCUUUGCAAGCAGGUCGGUCACUGUAGACCCGCCACUGGCACAUCAUGGCCUUCCCAUACAUCUCUUCUUCGAAAAGCAUUAGAAACACAGCUUGAGUGCUUCCCUGAGCUUUACAUUCUCUUUCCCGCUGCUGUCAGCGGCUAAGGUAACAAAGAAAGUGUAAUUUCUCUGUUAUUGGGGAUUUCGUAUACUUUCGUGGAUCACCACACGAAAACCCCUAAAAGUCUACCUUUUUACAAUCUUCUUGGUUUUUUUCUUGACCACUGGCUUUAGAGAGUACAUAGCCUGGUAGCACGCCUCUGGUUUAAGCAGCUUGACCUGCUCAGGGGGUUUACAACAGCGCUAUCUAGCCUGUCACACACCCUUUUCUCUCGUCAAAUAGUACAAUUUAUAUUUAAAAAAAAAUAAAAAAUACGACUAUAGAAGAUAGCCAAAUAAGUUUCGAGUUUCAGGUGUAUUUCUUUCUUUUUUAUUUUUUUAUUGAUAGCUAACUAGUGACCCUGUCGUUGUUGUUUUUGUUGUUGUAUAUCUGGUCCAACUGAAGUGACAG
rnacentral:lncRNA from 1 species